rnacentral:rRNA from 1 species
AUUGAACGCUGGCGGCAGGCCUAACACAUGCAAGUCGAACGGAGUGGCGGACGGGUGAGUAAUGUCUGGGAAACUGCCUGAUGGAGGGGGAUAACUACUGGAAACGGUAGCUAAUACCGCAUACUAUCAGAUGAGCCUAGGUCGGAUUGGCUAGUUGGUGGGGUAAAGGCCUACCAAGGCGACGAUCCGUAACUGGUAUGAGAGGAUGAUCAGUCACACUGGGACUGGGACACGGUGCAGACUCCUACGGAAGGCAGCAGUGGGGAAUAUUGGACAAUGGGCGAAAGCCUGAGCCAGCCAUGCCGCGUGUGUGAAGAAGGUCUUCGGAUUGUAAGGCACUUUAAGUUGGGAGGCGUUACCAACAGAAUAAGCGCCGGCUAACUUCGUGCCAGCAGCCGCGGUAAUAC